rnacentral:rRNA from 1 species
GACGAACGCUGGCGGCGUGCUUAACACAUGCAAGUCGAACGGAAAGGCCCUGCUCUUGUGGGGUGCUCGAGUGGCGAACGGGUGAGUAACACGUGAGUAACCUGUCCUUGACUUUGGGAUAACUUCAGGAAACUGGGGCUAAUACCGGAUAGGAGCUCCUGCAGCAUGGUGGGGGUUGGAAAGUUUCGGCGGUUGGGGAUGGACUCGCGGCUUAUCAGCUUGUUGGUGGGGUAGUGGCUUACCAAGGCUUUGACGGGUAGCCGGCCUGAGAGGGUGACCGGCCACAUUGGGACUGAGAUACGGCCCAGACUCCUACGGGAGGCAGCAGUAGGGAAUAUUGCACAAUGGGCGGAAGCCUGAUGCAGCAACGCCGCGUGCGGGAUGACGGCCUUCGGGUUGUAAACCGCUUUCGCCGGUGACGAAGCGUGAGUGACGGUAAUGGGUAAAGAAGCACCGGCUAACUACGUG